rnacentral:rRNA from 1 species
AACGAACGCUGGCGGCAUGCCUAACACAUGCAAGUCGAACGAAGGCUUCGGCCUUAGUGGCGCACGGGUGCGUAACGCGUGGGAAUCUGCCCUUGGGUUCGGAAUAACAGUGAGAAAUUACUGCGAAUGCCGGAUGAUGACUUCGGUCCAAAGAUUUAUCGCCCAAGGAUGAGCCCGCGUAAGAUUAGCUAGUUGGUGAGGUAAAGGCUCACCAAGGCGACGAUCUUUAGCUGGUCUGAGAGGAUGAUCAGCCACACUGGGACUGAGACACGGCCCAGACUCCUACGGGAGGCAGCAGUGGGGAAUAUUGGACAAUGGGCGAAAGCCUGAUCCAGCAAUGCCGCGUGAGUGAUGAGGGCCUUAGGGUUGUAAAGCUCUUUUACCAGGGAUGAUAAUGACAGUACCUGGAGAAUAAGCUCCGGCUAACUCCGUGCCAGCCGCCGCGGUAA